rnacentral:rRNA from 1 species
UACGUAGGGUGCAAGCGUUGUCCGGAAUUAUUGGGCGUAAAGAGCUCGUAGGCGGUCUGUCGCGUCUGCUGUGAAAACUCGGGGCUCAACCCCGAGCGUGCACCCGAUACUGCCGGGCUUGAGGCAGGUAGGGGAGAUCGGAAUUCCUGGUGUAGCGGUGAAAUGCGCAGAUAUCAGGAGGAACACCGGUGGCGAAGGCGGAUCUCUGGGCCUGUCCUGACGCUGAGGCGCGAAAGCUAGGGGAGCGAACAGG